rnacentral:misc_RNA from 1 species
GAUGAAGAACGUAGCGAAAUGCGAUAAUUAAUGUGAAUUGCAGAAUUCAGUGAAUCAUCGAGUCUUUGAACGCACAUUGCGCCCCCUGGUAUUCCGGGGGGCAUGCCUGUCCGAGCGUCAUUGCUGCCCUCAAGCACGGCUUGUGUGUUGGGCUUCCGUCCCUGGCAACGGGGACGGGCCCAAAAGGCAGUGGCGGCACCAUGUCUGGUCCUCGAGCGUAUGGGGCUUUGUCACCCGCUCCCGUAGGUCCAGCUGGCAGCUAGCCUCGCAACCAAUCUUUUUAACCAGGUUGACCUCGGAUCGGGUAGGGAUACCCGCUGAACUUAAGCAUAUCAAUAAGCGGAGGA